rnacentral:ncRNA from 1 species
UAGAGCGAAAAAUAUCUAAGGGAAGGUAGCUCGUUGUCACCACUCUACAUCAUAAAGGUGGAGUCCUUAAGUAGAUGAUUAGAUCAAGAGAAGAUAGUUGAAAACUUGCAGGUAAUUUCAAGGGGAAUCUGACUGUUUAAUUAAAACAAAGCAUUGUGAUGGUCCUUGUGGAUGUUGACGCAAUGUGAUUUAUGCCCAUUAAACUGCAUGUCAAAGUGAAGAAAUUCAACCAAGUGUGGGUAAACGGUGGGAGUAACUAUGACUCUCUUAAGGUAGUCAGAUGAUUCGUCAUCUAAUUAGUGAUGUGCAUGAAUGGAUUAAUGAGAUUCUCAUUGUCCCUAGCUACUAUUUAUAGAAACCACAUCCAAGGGAACGGGCUUGG